rnacentral:rRNA from 1 species
CCUACGGGAGGCAGCAGUAGGGAAUCUUCCACAAUGGGCGAAAGCCUGAUGCAGCAACGCCGCGUGGGUGAAGAAGGUCUUCGGAUCGUAAAACCCUGUUGUUAGAGAAGUAAGUGCGUGAGAGUAACUGUUCACGUUUCGACGGUAUCUAACCAGAUAGCCACGGCUCACUACGUGCCAGCAGCCGCGGUAAUACGUAGGUGGCAAGCGUUAUCCGGAUUGAUUGGGCGUAAAGGGAACGCAGGCGGUCUUUUAAGUCUGAGGUGAAAGCCUUCGGCUUAACCGGAGUAGUGCAUUGGAAACUGGGAGGCUGGAGUGCAGAAGAGGAGAGUGGAACGCCAUGUGUAGCGGUGAAAUGCGUAGAUAUAUGGAAGAACACCAGUGGCGAAGGCGGCUCUCUGGGCUGUAACUGACGCUGAGGUUCGAAAGCGUGGGUAGCAAACAGGAUUAGAUACCCUAGUAGUC